AAACAUAAAUGUUCCAGCACAAUACAUCUCAAUCAAUGGCUGUGCAGAUGUCGACUAUUUCAAUUCCCAAAACCUCUCUUCAAAAAAUUCCUUAACUCUCCUCUUCUUUACUCCUCUCCAAAGUAGUACUAAAUCACAUCAAAAUACAAACAACUCUUCUAAUUUGGAAUGUGAUGGAGCUCCUCAAGUCUAGUUUCCUUUGCAUUCUACUUCUCCUCCUCCUCCUCUUCGGGCCGGGCUUUUCAGCAGGGAGAAUGCAUGCGAAGAAUAUGGGAUCAGAGGUUUAUGAUAUUGAUUACAGAGGGCCGGAGACGCACACAUACAACCCGCCGCCGAACCGGGCCGGCCCCAGAGUCCCUCAUCAAACCCGCCACAAGUCCAAACGGAAUGUAAGGAGAAAUCUUGAUAGGAAAAAUUCUAGAUCGUGACUUUGAAAUGAUCGUGAAUAUAUUAUUAUUGUCUCCUUUUUAAAAAAAAAGAAAUUAAUCUAUUUGCAUUUGUGUGAUUUUUUCAAAAUUGUGUUAAGUAGGACUAUAAUUUAUGCAAUGAGAUUUUAAAGCUUUUAAUAUAGUAUGACUUGAAUUUUGCUUGUUUUGUAAAA